GACUAGGUCCUCUGAGUUAUUUAGGUAUCUGCAAACCUAAAAGAUCCACUUCUACUCAUUUGAAAAAUAUGGAAUGAAGUCAUCAGGCAUGUUCUAACAAGGAACUAGAAAUGUCUGUUAGACAAACUGCCUAACUCCAAUAUCCCCACCACCACCACCACCCCCAAGGGUUUGUCUCCUAUGGAUGCAUUCCGGACUGUCCUUCAGGAUAUACUCCAGCAAGUAAGGAAGGAAAAUACGUUUGAGCUUGGCGUAAUCGCAAUGAAUAUGAAGGCUCCUGUUACUGCCUCCAGAACACCCUUGAGUCAGCAGUCCUUCAGAUCUUCCAACAUUCUCAAGCACAAAAUCUUACACAAGAAGAUCACACACCUUUUUGUGAAUGGAGUGAUGGAACCAGUGCCUCCAGAAGAGAAUAUUGUUUUAUUGAAAAGAAGCAACCAGUGGAGGGCAGUCUUGAUCUGAAAUUGGUCAACAGAUGUAUGAGUGUGCAAAUUCUGGAUUAAGGGCCAAAUUCAGAACUGGUGUAAACAGAUGCAACUUUACUGACUUGGAUGGAAUUAUAUCAGUUUACACUAGGGUUAAAUUUGGCCUGGACACUCUAGCAUCUAUGGUGAGAUCAGUCCUGUAAGAAACCCACAGGAAGACCUAAUCCUUGUUCCCAAGGUGUGUACUACCUAAGUAAUAGUUUCAAGCUACAUCUCUUCCAUAAAGUAUUCCUGGGGGAAUUCUGUGCCCCUCCCCCCCCCAAUAAAAAAUUCUGCAUAUUUUGUCA
rnacentral:lncRNA from 1 species